AAGUUGGUCAACGUUUGAGAGUUCAAAAGAUUUAGCAAUUUUAUACGAGUGAAAUUGAAAUCUCUUCAACUUUCAGACGUUUUCUGAUUU
ensembl:miRNA mir-792 ncRNA